GAAAAAAUAAAGAAAAAAAUGUCACAGGAAAUUGCAAUGAAUGGAAAUCAGGGAAAGGCUAAAAAAGAAGGGAGAGAAGGCAGGAAGGGCUGGCAAUACCGAAUGAGAACCUCUAUUGUAAUUGGCUUAGGUGCGGUGCGACAUAUUUGAAUGAAUGGAGAUUUAUUUCUUUUUUCUCUGGUUUUCCUACUGUGAAACACUGUAUAAGAAAUGUUAAUCUGUUGCAUAGCAAAACUUAAGAUACCAAACAUCAUGUAUUGUUUUAUUUUCCUGUGACAUCCCUUGUUCCAUAAAGACAGAAAACAUCGGUGCUCGUUACUUGAUUUUGGACCAUCAGUGCAAAACAGCAGUAAAUCAAUACAGAAGGUCCAGCUUCUAAUGUAAAAUCUGUUUUUGUGUGGUUGCAAAAUGAGAAGUUUCCCUGAGAAACAUAGGGAAGAAAAGCUGACAUGCUGUUUAAUGGGGGUCAUCUCAGAAGCUGCCAGUCUCAGGCCCUUGCCCUCUUUGGAGAUGGGAAGGGUGCUGUCUCAAGGUGCACCCAGACUUCAUAACUUCUCACAGAGUUUGACUUGUGUCACUGUGAUUUGGAGCACACAGAAACAGGUAGUUGACUUCUAGCAAAACUGGUUUGUUGGGAGCCAGGCUCCACUGCAUCAAUUCAGAAUGAUGGAGGAUGAGGAUGUCCUAAGAUGAUCUCACAUCUAGAGGGCUUUCUGCCACAAAAGAACUACUUCAGAAUGAGCCUGGGAAUAAAUUUCUAGACACAGAUGUUGAAGGCAAUGGAGCUAAUGCAAGUUUCCAGCCAGAUGGAAGGAGCCAUUUUCAGCUCCAAAAAAAAUAUAAUCAGAGGUCCCUAUUGAGAUGGGUAUUUCUAAGGAAUCCAUAAAAGUAUCUUAGGAGAGAAAGAGUCAGAAGAUCAGAUUUAAAUCUGGUAGUCUUAACACUUUACUGCCCAAACAUCCCUGUGCUACCCCAGUGACUCAUUCUGAAAGGGCCAGAAAGGAGAGCAAGUAGGAUUGAAACAGCAAGUCAGUACCUUCCACCUGAGGAGUGAAGGUGCUUUUAAUUGGCCACAAGUUGACAGUUUCUAUUGGAUUUUCGAUGAUCAUGUUAAUAAUUUUGUAUUUCUCAGUAGCUAGUAUUAACAGGAGAGGUAAGAAAAAGUAAAAUUGUCUUCUGUUAGUAUCCUUGGCAAGUCCACGUAUAAGACAAUAAUUCAGGAUUCUCUUACUAUAUCUGUAAGUACAUUAUUUUACAACU
rnacentral:lncRNA from 1 species